rnacentral:ncRNA from 1 species
AUAAUAAUAGGGCACACUCGUUGAAAAACGGGGUCGCAAAACUACAGGGGCUAUCACAUGUCCAAUUUGGAUAUGUUAUGCCAGCCAGUUACCGAA